GCCCUGAAAGCUGCCUCAAAGUUCUUGGAAGACUCUUGUUUUAGAUAAUUCCCAUGCUUAUCGAGAUCCUGGGACAGGUUGAAUGCUAGGCGCAAUAAGGGUUCACCAGCCAAGCUAACUUUCUCGCUCACACAUCUCAUAAUCACAUCAGCAAGAUCACUCUGUCCCUUUUCCAUGGCCUCUCCAUAAGCCUUGAGGAGGUGACGGACACUCAAUAGGCUAUUAAGCUCCGAUUCUUCCCCUGGCAAGGUCAAUGAGGAUGAUGAUUCAUCGGACUUAAUUGAAGGGCUUGGACUCCAUCCAUUCCCUUCAUUAGACACCUCCUGUGAAGGAAAACUUCCUUCACUAUCGCUCAAUACAAACCCCAUAUCUCCACAAACAUUAGGUUCAUUAAAAAAAUCCUCCACUGAUAACAUGGUCUGCAAGUGAUCAUCACCUGAAAACAGAGGAGAUUGGGAAAAUUGAGUUUGG
rnacentral:misc_RNA from 1 species